ACCCAAUCAUCGCUCUCUUUCCUUUGGAAUAUGACAGCGAGUGGAGCUUCAAGACCAAUCUAGGCCUGAAGCCUGCUAACUUCAGUCGAAUACAAAACCGCAAAUUGAGGAGGAGAAUUGCUGGUAAAGCCAAGUGGGAUCAGUUAAAAGAAGCUUACACGACCAGGAACAGACCUGAAACAUGCAGAUGUGGCUCGUAUUUUGCGUGGUCUUCAUGCUAUGGAGAUGCAGCGUCUGUUUUCAACUGCAUGAUAUUCUGAGGGACCUGCAGACGGAGAAUGCAUAUUUACACAGCAAGGUGGACAACAUGACAGAAAUGCUGAUGGAGCUAAAAUUCUUCAUAUGGAACAAUUCAAGAGGCCAAGUUCCAGCACCAGAGCACCUUCAAGACAGUGCCUUCUGCAAGCAAGAUAUCAUAUGGUCUGGAUCUUCAAAUAUGAAUUAUCCUGUUUGUUUCCUAAUAGCAGUUACACAGGCA